rnacentral:rRNA from 1 species
UGAACGCUGGCGGUAUGCCUAACACAUGCAAGUCGUACGAGAGUUUUUAACUCAAGUGGCGGACGGGUGAGUAACACGUGAGAAUCUGCCUUUAGGAGGGGGACAACAACUGGAAACGGUUGCUAAUACCCCAUAUGCUUUCGAGUGAAAUGAAUUUAUUCGCCUAAAGAGGAGCUCGCUGCUGAUUAGCUUGUUGGUAGAGUAAUAGCCUACCAAGGCGACGAUCAGUAUCUGGUUUGAGAGGACGAUCAGACACACUGGAACUGAGACACGGUCCAGACUCCUACGGGAGGCAGCAGUGGGGAAUUUUCCGCAAUGGGCGAAAGCCUGACGGAGCAAUACCGCGUGAGGGAAGACGGCCUAUGGGUUGUAAACCUCUUUUCUCAGGGAGGAAUUCAAUGACGUGUACCUGAGGAAUAAGCAUCGGCUAACUCC